UACGUAGGGGGCUAGCGUUGUCCGGAUUUAUUGGGCGUAAAGAGCGUGUAGGCGGCCAGAUAGGUCUGCUGUGAAAACUCGAGGCUCAACCUCGAGAUGUCGGCGGAAACCAUUUGGCUAGAGUCCGGAAGAGGAAAGUGGAAUUCCUGGUGUAGCGGUGAAAUGCGCAGAUAUCAGGAAGAACACCCGUGGCGAAGGCGGCUCUCUGGAACGCAACUGACGCUGAGACGCGAAAGCGUGGGGAGCAAACAGG
rnacentral:rRNA from 1 species